CCUACAGGGUGCAGCAGUGGGGAAUAUUGGACAAUGGGCGAAAGCCUGAUCCAGCCAUGCCGCGUGUGUGAAGAAGGCCUUCGGGUUGUAAAGCACUUUCAGUGGGGAAGAAAGCCUUGGGGCUAAUACCCUCGAGGAAGGACAUCACCCACAGAAGAAGCACCGGCUAACUCCGUGCCAGCAGCCGCGGUAAUACGGAGGGUGCGAGCGUUAAUCGGAAUUACUGGGCGUAAAGCGCGCGUAGGCGGUCUGAUAAGCCGGUUGUGAAAGCCCCGGGCUCAACCUGGGAACGGCAUCCGGAACUGUCAGGCUAGAGUGCAGGAGAGGAAGGUAGAAUUCCCGGUGUAGCGGUGAAAUGCGUAGAGAUCGGGAGGAAUAACAGUGGCGAAGGCGGCCUUCUGGACUGACACUGACGCUGAGGUGCGAAAGCGUGGGUAGCAAACAGGAUUAGAUACCCUAGUAGUC
rnacentral:rRNA from 1 species